rnacentral:lncRNA from 1 species
UUUGAUGCCUGUUGCGAAAGGGAUGGGGGCUGCAGAGUUCACCGUAUGCUGGUGUCAGGAGCACGGACAGCAGAGCUCCCAGCAGAAGGGCACGGCAGAGGACAAGGGUGGCUGGGGGACAUGGUGGCUCAGCUCCACCCAGCAGAAGUUCCUGCUCAGGGCUCCAGCAAGCACCAGGGCAGGAGGGAAGUGCCCAUCUGUGCACACAUCAGCUGUGCCUCCUGGGGCAUCCCCGCCUGACAAUGCGCCCAGCUGACGCAGGGAGGUGGCAGCUGUGCCUCCACGCUGCAUGGCUUUACUGGGAGCGGGGCUAUAAAAGUGAUAAUUGUGGACUUCCCUCUACAAGCAAAGAGAAAUGAUCAGCAGAGAGAGAUUGGAUCAUUCUCUGGAGAUAUUCAAGACCUGUCUGGAUGCCUACCUGUGAAACCUGAUGUAGGGAGCCUGGUUCGGCAGGGGGGUUGAACUACACGAUCUCUGCAGGUCCCUUCCAACAAUUCUGAACAAUUCUACAAUUCUGUAAUUCUGUGGUUCUGUGAUCAUCUUUGCAGGAUAUGGUUUGAACACUCUGUAGAAAUAUCUGUAAAGCAGCUAAGUGCAUUCUGGGCUAGAUAUCUGUGUGUCUAAUUUCCUUGCAAUACAGAAAUAAAGGCUUUACAACAUGCUCCAUUACUGUGGUAUGCUAAAUUUGCUUAUGAAUUUUAAGCAUUUGGCCCAGUGAAUUCCAAUUUAAUUUUAACAGUACCAGCACAGACUACAGGAUGAUCUAAACAAAUUAUGUCCCACCAAAGAAUCCAGGCAAGUUACUCAAUUUUAUAGUAAUUGUGUUAAAAGUUUUCUAUUUUUUUUUUUCUUUUUAAUUAACACCAAAUAUCUUUGCAUCCCAGUAGAGUUCUGUCAUUCUCUGUCUGUUUUUAGGUAUGGAGUCAAUCCUGUCCUCAUGGAAUCAAGUCUUAAAUCACUACAAUGGGAACACGGCUGAUUCUGAUUCAUUGUACCCUGUUCCCUGUGUUACAUCUACUCUGAAUGUCUGCACUUCUCUUGUCAAAAUAAUCUCCAAUGGAAUCACUGCAAGCAUUUUUUCUACCUAUAUAUUGUCAUAUACUACUUGCCAGUUUUUCUUCUUUUUUUGUUUUGAUGGAAUACACAAAGAUCAGAACAUAACAGAAGGUGCUGAACAGUAUUUGUCCUUUUAUUCCUACACUGCUCAAAUAUUGUUUCACUAAAACUGGAACUUUUCACUCAUGGGAAAGAUUGAUCAAGAUCAGAGAGUACAUACUGAUAUGACUACAGGUUAUUAAGUGGAAAUAAUUGAAUCAUAGAAUCACAGAAUGGCCUGGGUUGAAAAGGACCACAGUGAUCAUCGAGUUUCAACCCCGGCUAUGUGCAGGGUCACCAACCACUAGACCAGGCUGCCUAGAGCCACAUCUGGCCUGUACUUGAAUGCCUCCAGGGAUGGGGCAUCCACAGUCUCCUUGGGGCUCAGCUCUGUCCCUAUCAGAAAAAUGAUGCUUUCAGAAUUUUUACAUUAUUUAUGAGAUAGAGUAUUUUUUCUUUGUUUGUUUCUGUGUUUUUGUUUUUGUUCAAUACUAAUAAGGGCUGUGGCUUUAGGAAAACAUAGUUUCUCUGACACUGCCAUGUGAUCAGAUGGCUUACACUGAGCUAAAUAAAUGGUCUUGAAAAUACAUAUUGUUUGAAAUAAAGGACCUUAUUUUCAAGUACUAUGAAGCACAUGGACAUCUCAUAGAAAAAGAACUAUUAGCUGACGCACUGAGAACAGCUUUAAUCCACUCUCCCUAUGAGCUCUUAUGAGCUCAUGGUUCAAAGGACACUUUCAUGUUUUUAUAUUAAGCGCUUAGAAUUCUUUGUGAGCAAAAACUUUUAUAAGGAUUUUCAGCUUUUAAAAAGAGUCUUUCCAAGAUUUCUGUGAGAUUGCUCAAGCAACAUAUCCAGUCCUCAGAACAAUCCCACAAAAUGAAUAAACUUUGACAUACAAGUGCCUAUCACAUCUUGAAAGCGUUUAGCUUUUGAGAACAUUUUGUAGAAGAGUUUUUUGUUACAUGGAUCUUUCAUCCAUUUUCCCAUCCUCAUCCAGCAGCCAAAAUUAUUAUCAGAGAAACCUGUGCAGACCUCACAAAAUAAAAAUGGAGGUGUUACAGAAGGUGAAAGUUCAGUUCUUCAUGUUUAAGUCAGCAAGAGCACUGAGUUCAAGAGAAAGAUUUACUGAAAUCUUCAGUUAGGAGUAAAGGAAGAAAACCUUAUAGGGCCCGCGAAGCUUGUAUUUCCAAACAAGUGUUAAUAAAUCACAGUUCAUCUCAUUUAAAAUCUGUAUAAAAUAAUUUAGAUAAAAUGCACUUAACAGACAUCAAAGUUCUACCUACUUGCAAUAGAUAACCUGAGGCAGAAGUGUCCAAUAUAAGUAGGGUAGUUUCAGCCUUGUAAAAAUCAUGAAAAUACUUUGCAAAGUUGUUUUGAAAAUGUCUUUUGGCAACCCUGAUGACUCCAGGUAUAUACUGAUGGGAUCACAUUAAUGUCUUUGGCUACCUGAGCUUAUCAUUCCUCACAUUAAUAUUAAUGUAAUCAUUUUGGACUUCUUAAUAGACUUCACAGAGUCUUCACGGUUUGUCUUCACAGAGUCACAGUGUUAUUUAUGUAAGAUCUUUUCCAGAGUCUCAGUUUAGUAAAGAUUGGGACUUACAGUGGUAAGGUCACUGUAAUACUGAGGACAAAAGAGAAACACCUCUGGGAAAAUGUCUGGUGUCUUAUGCUGAAUAAUUUCUCUUAUUGUAUAAAUUUCUUAUGCUUUAUAUUUUCAUACUUGUUUAUACUGUGUGGCUCCUGCUCUCAUUAAAAAAAAAAUAUAUAUAUAUAAAAAUAAAUGCUGUAACAUAUCAAUAUUAUUAUCUGCCCUUCUAUAAAUAAAACAGCCCAGAAAUUAUCUCUGUAAAAAUUUUAUUCUCUCUGUCUCAGCUUUGGUAGUUCAGGCUCACAGAAUCUAUUGUAGAUGAAGACUCCUAAAAUAUUUUGAGUUCUGAUCUCAUGGACAACAGUUUUUACCCUUUCGUCAUUUCAGAUCUCUGGUUUCAUGGAGGCAAGUCUUUAAAAAGACACAUCCCUCUGUUUUCACAGAAGUGACUGCCUGUCAGAGUGAUCCUCACAAAUAAUACUUGCCUCAGGACAGAGGAUGCAGUUAGGAAGUACCACUCAGUACUUUGCCC